rnacentral:rRNA from 1 species
UUCUUAAACUAUUAUUUUAAGUAAAAUCUGCUCCAUGUUUAAAUAAAUAACCGCAGAAAUUUACCUGUGCUAAGGUAGCAUAAUCAUUAGCCCCCUAAUUAGGGGAUAGAAUGAAAGAUUUAACAAUUUAAUUUUUAUUUUUUUAUAAAUAAUUUAAUUUUAACUAAAUAUAAAAAUGUAUUUAUUAAUAAAAAAGACGACAAGACCCUAUUGAACUUUACUAAAGUUUAGCUGGGGAAGCUAAUUAAAAAUUAUUUUAAUUUUUCUUAUAAAUAAAUAGCUAAUAAAAUUAAUUUACUAAGUUACCAUAGGGAUAACAGCGUAAUUUAUUUUUAAAGCUCUUAUAAAAAAAAAAGAUUACGACCUCGAUGUUGAAUAAUUUAUCUAUAAUACGCAACUGUUUUAAAAGAAAGUCUGUUCGACCUUUGAAGAAUUACA